UGGGGAAUUUUGGACAAUGGGCGCAAGCCUGAUCCAGCCAUUCCGCGUGCAGGACGAAGGCCUUCGGGUUGUAAACUGCUUUUGUACGGAACGAAAAGGCUCUGGCUAAUACCUGGGGCUCAUGACGGUACCGUAAGAAUAAGCACCGGCUAACUACGUGCCAGCAGCCGCGGUAAUACGUAGGGUGCAAGCGUUAAUCGGAAUUACUGGGCGUAAAGCGUGCGCAGGCGGUUAUGUAAGACAGAGGUGAAAUCCCCGGGCUCAACCUGGGAACUGCCUAUGUGACUGCAUAGCUGGAGUACGGCAGAGGGGGAUGGAAUUCCGCGUGUAGCAGUGAAAUGCGUAGAUAUGCGGAGGAACACCGAUGGCGAAGGCAAUCCCCUGGGCCUGUACUGACGCUCAUGCACGAAAGCGUGGGGAGCAAACA
rnacentral:rRNA from 1 species